rnacentral:rRNA from 1 species
GACGAACGCUGGCGGCGUGCUUAACAUAUGCAAGUCGAACGGAAAGGCCUCUUUCGGGGGGUACUCGAGUGGCGAACGGGUGAGUAACACGUGAGUAACCUGCCCUUGACUUUGGGAUAACUUCAGGAAACUGGGGCUAAUACCGGAUAGGAGCUCCUGCUGCAUGGUGGGGGUUGGAAAGUUUCGGCGGUUGGGGAUGGACUCGCGGCUUAUCAGCUUGUUGGUGGGGUAGUGGCUUACCAAGGCUUUGACGGGUAGCCGGCCUGAGAGGGUGACCGGCCACAUUGGGACUGAGAUACGGCCCAGACUCCUACGGGAGGCAGCAGUGGGGAAUAUUGCACAAUGGGUGGAAGCCUGAUGCAGCAACGCCGUGUGCGGGAUGACGGCCUUCGGGUUGUAAACCGCUUUCGCUCAUGACGAAGCUUUGUGUGACGGUAGUGGGUAAAGAAGCACCGGCUAACUACGUG